rnacentral:rRNA from 1 species
AACCUGGUUGAUCCUGCCAGUAGUCAUAUGCUUGUCUCAAAGACUAAGCCUUGCAUGUCUAAGUAUAAGUAUUAUACAGCGAAACUGCGAAUGGCUCAUUAAAACAGUUAUAAUUUAUUUGAUAAUCGAAUUUACAUGGAUAACCGUGGUAAUUCUAGAGCUAAUACAUGCUGGUAGGCCCGACUUUUUGGAAGGGCGGUAUUUAUUAGAUAACAAACCAAUAUUCCUCUGGUCUAUUGUGGUGAAUCAUAAUAACUGAUCGAAUCGCAAGGUUUUUAACCGCGAUAAGUCAUUCAAGUUUCUGCCCCAUCAGCUUUCGAUGGUAGUGUAUUGGACUACCAUGGCUUUUACGGGUAACGGAGGAUUAGGGUUCGAUUCCGGAGAGGGAGCCUGAGAAACGGCUACCACAUCU